AUUGAACGCUGGCGGCAUGCCUUACACAUGCAAGUCGAACGGUAACAGGUCUUCGGAUGCUGACGAGUGGCGAACGGGUGAGUAAUACAUCGGAACGUGCCCAGACGUGGGGGAUAACGAGGCGAAAGCUUUGCUAAUACCGCAUACGAUCUAAGGAUGAAAGCAGGGGACCGCAAGGCCUUGCGCGUUUGGAGCGGCCGAUGGCAGAUUAGGUAGUUGGUGGGAUAAAGCUUACCAAGCCGACGAUCUGUAGCUGGUCUGAGAGGACGACCAGCCACACUGGGACUGAGACACGGCCCAGACUCCUACGGGAGGCAGCAGUGGGGAAUUUUGGACAAUGGGCGAAAGCCUGAUCCAGCAAUGCCGCGUGCAGGAUGAAGGCCUUCGGGUUGUAAACUGCUUUUGUACGGAACGAAAAGGCUCUGGCUAAUACCUGGGGCACAUGACGGUACCGUAAGAAUAAGCACCGGCUAACUACGUG
rnacentral:rRNA from 1 species